UGGCUCAGAACGACGCUGGCGGCAGGCCUCAAACAUGCAAGUCUAGGGGGUGUAGCAAUACAUCACCGGCGGACGGGUGCGUAACGCGUGGGAAUAUACCUAUCGAUUCGGAACAACUGAGGGAAACUUCAGCUAAUACCGAAUACGUCCUAACGGAGAAAGAUUUAUCGUCGAUAGAUUAGCCCGCGUUCGAUUAGCUAGUUGGUGGGGUAACGGCCCACCAAGGCGACGAUCGAUAGCUGUUCUGAGAGGAAGAUCAGCCACACUGGGACUGAGACACGGCCCAGACUCCUACGGGAGGCAGCAGUUGGGAAUCUUGGACAAUGGGGGAAACCCUGAUCCAGCCAUGCCGCGUGAGUGAUGAAGGCCUUCGGGUUGUGAAACUCUUUCGCGCACGACGAUAAUGACGGUAGUGCGAGAAGAAGCUCCGGCUAACUUCGUG
rnacentral:rRNA from 1 species